AUACGGAGGGUGCAAGCGUUGUUCGGAAUUAUUGGGCGUAAAGCGCGUGUAGGCGGCUUGGUAAGUCAGGUGUGAAAGCCCUUAGCUCAACUAAGGAAAGUCAUCUGAAACUGCCAGGCUUGAGUACGGGAGAGGAGAGUGGAAUUCCCGGUGUAGAGGUGAAAUUCGUAGAUAUCGGGAGGAACACCCGUGGCGAAGGCGACUCUCUGGACCGAUACUGACGCUGAGACGCGAAAGCGUGGGGAGCAAACAGGGUUAGAUACCCCGGUAGUCC
rnacentral:rRNA from 1 species